rnacentral:rRNA from 1 species
AAGCGGAGGAAAAGAAACUAACAAGGAUUCCCCUAGUAACGGCGAGUGAAGCGGGAAGAGCUCAAAUUUGAAAUCUGGUAGCCUUCGGCUGCCCGAGUUGUAAUCUAGAGAAGUGUUUUCCGUGCCGGCCCAUGUACAAGUCCCUUGGAACAGGGCGUCAUAGAGGGUGAGAAUCCCGUCCUUGACAUGGACCCCCGGUGCUUUGUGAUACACUUUCAACGAGUCGAGUUGUUUGGGAAUGCAGCUCAAAAUGGGUGGUGAAUUCCAUCUAAAGCUAAAUAUUGGCGAGAGACCGAUAGCGAACAAGUACCGUGAGGGAAAGAUGAAAAGCACUUUGGAAAGAGAGUUAAACAGUACGUGAAAUUGUUGAAAGGGAAACGAUUGAAGUCAGUCAUGCUCUUUGGAUUCAGCCGUUCUGCGGUGUAUUUCCAUUGAGUGGGGUCAACAUCAGUUUUGAUCGCUGGAUAAAGGCACUAGGAAGGUAGCACUCUCGGGUGAACUUAUAGCCUAGCGUCAUAUACAGUGAUUGGGACUGAGGAACGCAGCAUGCCUUUAUGGCCGGGAUUCGUCCACGUACAUGCUUAGGAUGUUGACAUAAGGGCUUUAAACGACCCGUCUUGAAAC